rnacentral:lncRNA from 1 species
UUAUUCGAAUCCGCAAUUUUUAAUUUUAAAAAUGUCUACGAAAAAUUAAACAUAUUUCAUGCAAAAAUUCAUUAAUAACACCCACAUCAGAGAGCACUGAAAUAUGUUUUCAAUAAUGGCUGAUUGUUAUGAUUAGUUAAUUACAAUAAGUACUCCGUUUUAACCUACAAGUACAUAAGAACUACAGCACCCCAGGAGUUGCCAAUUAAUUGAUGGAAUAAAUAAUUCCUUAAAGUUACAGACGCUAGAAUUUACUUAGAGUUUCAAUAAAUAAACUAAAAUGUCAGGAAUUAAAUUAAACUCAUCAUCGAACAUCCCUAGUAAAUAUCUUCCAUCUGUCGUACUCCAACGACUUGACAUUCCAAAGGACAGUCCUGUAUAUGUUAUUAACACAGAAACUUCUGAAAAAGAAAAAUCAAAUAUAACACAAUCGAAACAGAACUUUUGUGAUCGUAACUGCAAAGAUUUGACACCAAAUCAUGAAGCUCGUCACAAAAUUCUUAGUAUCGAGUAUAUUUGUCAACGUUGCCAUCAAUCAUUUGAAACAACCGAAUUACAUAGUCAGCACGUACUAAACCAUUAUUCCAGAAAAGAACGAAAAAGCUCCGAAAGUUCUGACUCUAGAUCUUAAGUAAGCCACUCGAAACGACAUACCAAGACUCACGUCGCCAGUUAUCCUUGCAAUUCAUGCUGUCAAUUUUGUGAAAUACUCAACUAUUAGCUUAUUUAAAUAAUCAUCAUAAUUGAAAUCAAUCAGGACGAUAAACAGAUCUAAAUUCUUCAUAUCAACAUGCCAGAAUAUUGAGACGAUUUACAUUUUAUCUUGACUGUUAUAUCAUAAGAUAAUUGACCGCAAAAGUUUACAAUAGAGGAAGCACUGGCUCUAUUACCUCAUAUUUAUAUUUGUUAUGGUGAUGCUCAUAAGUAUGUUGAACUCACUAACCUACAAGAUAAAGCUGUGCACAAUAAAUAGGAGUAUUUGUCAAUAAACUUGACUUG